GAUUCGUCUUUGGAGCUGGAACCUCGGCAUAUCAAGUGAGUAGUCUACCUUUGUUUGAGCUGAAAGUUCUGGCGUGUUUAUUUAAUCAAUCUUGAUGUGUUUCUUUUGCGUGCAGUAUGAGGGUGCUGUUGCUGAGGAUGGCAGGAGCCCAAGCAGCUGGGACACUUUCACUCACGCAGGCAAAAUGCCAGACAAAAGCACGGCAGAUGUUGCUGCAGAUGGGUACCACAAAUACAUGGAGGAUGUCAAGCUCAUGUCUGAGACAGGCCUAGAGGCCUAUAGGUUCUCCAUCUCCUG